CACGUAGGCGGAUCUUUAAGUCAGAGGUGAAAUCCCAAGGCUCAACCUUGGAACUGCCUUUGAUACUGGGGAUCUCGAGUCCGGAAGAGGUGAGUGGAACUCCGAGUGUAGAGGUGAAAUUCGUAGAUAUUCGGAAGAACACCAGUGGCGAAGGCGGCUCACUGGUCCGGUACCGACGCUGAGGCUCGAAAGCGUGGGGAGCAAACA
rnacentral:rRNA from 1 species